GGGUGAGUAAUGUCUGGGAAACUGCCUGAUGGAGGGGGAUAACUACUGGAAACGGUAGCUAAUACCGCAUAACGUCGCAAGACCAAAGAGGGGGACCUUCGGGCCUCUUGCCAUCAGAUGUGCCCAGAUGGGAUUAGCUAGUAGGUGGGGUAACGGCUCACCUAGGCGACGAUCCCUAGCUGGUCUGAGAGGAUGACCAGCCACACUGGAACUGAGACACGGUCCAGACUCCUACGGGAGGCAGCAGUGGGGAAUAUUGCACAAUGGGCGCAAGCCUGAUGCAGCCAUGCCGCGUGUAUGAAGAAGGCCUUCGGGUUGUAAAGUACUUUCAGCGGGGAGGAAGGUGCUGAGGUUAAUAACCUCAGCAAUUGACGUUACCCGCAGAAGAAGCACCGGCUAACUCCGUGCCAGCAGCCGCGGUAAUACGGAGGGUGCAAGCGUUAAUCGGAAUUACUGGGCGUAAAGCGCACGCAGGCGGUCUGUCAAGUCGGAUGUGAAAUCCCCGGGCUCAACCUGGGAACUGCAUUCGAAACUGGCAGGCUAGAGUCUUGUAGAGGGGGGUAGAAUUCCAGGUGUAGCGGUGAAAUGCGUAGAGAUCUGGAGGAAUACCGGUGGCGAA
rnacentral:rRNA from 1 species